UACGGAAGGCAGCAGGGGGAAUAUUGCACAAUGGGCGAAAGCCUGAUGCAGCUAUGCCGCGUGUAUGAAGAAGGCCUUAGGGUUGUAAAGUACUUUCAUCGGGGAGGAAAAAACAAAACUAAUAAUUUUAUUUCUUGACGUUACCCGAAAAAGAAGCACCGGCUAACUCCGUGCCAGCAGCCGCGGUAAUACGGAGGGUGCUAGCGUUAAUCAGAAUUACUGGGCGUAAAGAGCACGUAGGUGGUUUUUUUAAGUCAGAUGUGAAAUCCCUGGGCUUAACCUAGGAACUGCAUUUUGAAACUGAAAUACUAGAGUAUCGUAGAGGGAGGUAGAAUUCUAGGUGUAGCGGUGAAAUGCGUAGAUAUCUGGAGGAAUACCUGUGGCGAAAGCGGCCUCCUAAACGAAUACUGACACUGAGGUGCGAAAGCGUGGGGAGCAAACAGGGAUUAGAUACC
rnacentral:rRNA from 1 species